UAUUAUACAAGAUGAGCUAAAGAAUGCAUGCGACACUUAAGGAGAACCUUUACUUGGAAUUGAACCAACCUCACGUGAAAAGAUCAAACACAAAAGAUGAUAAUAAAUAAACAAUUAAACUAAAAGUGGUCAAAUGGAGUGACUUGUGACAUAAUCACUUAGGCAAAGAUAAUGACAAGGAGGCAAUUAUCAAUUAAAAUGGGGGAGACUGUUGAAGUUGAUAUUAUUAAGUAUAAAAUGCAAUAUGGAAUGUCAUAUACGGAUGAAAAAAAAAGAACUAAAUUCAAGAAGCAAAGAAUAAGACUAAUACUAGUUUACAGUAAAGUAGACCACCACCUUGAAAAAUAAGUUUCCCUCUUAACAUAUAGCAGUCCACAAAAUGACAAAAUACAAAAUCAUUGUUUCAUACCACUAAGAAAGGGCAGCAACAUGCAUAUGUAUUAAGGGGAUAGACUUAAGUAUUUUGGAUAUGAACAAAUUAGUGUACGAAG
rnacentral:lncRNA from 1 species